rnacentral:rRNA from 1 species
AGUGAACGCUGGCGGCGUGCUUAACACAUGCAAGUCGAACGAGAACGGAAUAUAGCUUGCUAUAUUUGUCAGCUAAGUGGCGCACGGGUGAGUAAUGUAUAGAUAACCUGCCCUUAAGAAAGGAAUAACAGUUGGAAACGACUGCUAAUGCCCCAUAUGCCUUUAAUACAUAAGUAUGCAAGGGAAACGCUUUAGUGCUUAAGGAUGGGUCUGUAUGGUAUCAGCUUGUUGGUGAGGUAAUGGCUCACCAAGGCUAUGACGCCUAACUGGUUUGAGAGGAUGAUCAGUCACACUGGAACUGAGACACGGUCCAGACUCCUACGGGAGGCAGCAGUGGGGAAUAUUGCACAAUGGACGAAAGUCUGAUGCAGCAACGCCGCGUGGAGGAUGACACAUUUCGGUGCGUAAACUCCUUUUAUAUAGGAAGAUAAUGACGGUACCAUAUGAAUAAGCACCGGCUAACUCCGUGCCAGCAGCCGCAGUAA